GACGAACGCUGGCGUCGUGCUUAACACAUGCAAGUCGAACGGAGUGGCGAAUGGUUGAGUAACAGGUGGGUGAUCUGCCUUGCACUUCGGGAUCAGCUUGGGAAACUGUGUCUAAUACCGGAUAGUGCAAUAUGCGCUCGCGGCCUAUCAGCUUGUUGGUGGGGCAAUGGCCUACCAAGGCGUCGACGGGUAGCCGACCUGAGAGGGUGUCCGGCCACAUUGGGACUGAGAUACCGCCCAGACGCCGACGGGAGGCAGCAGUGGGGGAUAUUGCACAAUGGGCGGAAGCCUGCUGCAGAGACGACGCGUGGGGGAUGAAGGCCUUCGGGUUGUACACUCCUCUCGACAGGGACGCGGUAACUGUAUAAGAAGCACCGGCUCACUACGUGCCAGCCGCCGCGGUAAUAC
rnacentral:rRNA from 1 species